UUCAUUUAAACAAGAAUUUGAUGUGAACGAGGAGAUGCCUUGAAAGCUGAAACGCAUGUAACCAAAUCGUACAUUAGUUAAUUUGAGGCGCUAGGAUAUCUCCUUCUGAAAUUUUCCCAUCUCAUCUCUGUGCAGAAGAGCUUAUGACCCUCUUGAUCCAAAUGGGAACAUCGCUAUCAAAUGGGAUAUCAUGGAGUGAACCUCAGAUGGCUAUACUCUGCUAUAUUGAAGCUUUGUCAUCACUUAACAUCACAAUCCACGAGUCGCUGCGAGCGAUGCCGAUUGAGUCCCUGAUGGAUGAGUUCCACGAGAACCACCCCUACGAAUCAAACAAGGAGCUUUUCUUCAUAUUCAUUCUAUGUUUUUGUGAUGUGUGUGUAAGAUCACUGCUGAGUCGGAUCGCAGCUGUGUUCUCCUUUGUAUGUUUUAUCUGUAUCUUCUGUUUGUUUGUAUAAACUUCUACUACUCGUUUGUGACAGUGGAAACUGGAGGCCUCUUUUUUCUCUUGCUUAAAAAUAAGCAUGUAUAGUCUGUAUCACCAGGCAAGAUGUAAUCUCCUAUCAACUAAUAUUGUACAAUUGUAAUUA